AUGGCCAACAUCCUCCAUUGGGACUUUGCCCUUGGUCUCAAAGUGGAGGAUCAGAUCAGGCGGAGGUUUGGAUCUUCGGUUCAUUACGAUCAUGAUCCGAAAACCAAGGAAUUUUUCUUGGUGGUCUCUUUCUCCUCUACUUCUUUCCCUCUUUCAGUGGAAUAUGUGGGUUUGGUGUUACAAUGUUGAAUUGGUGGUUGGGCAUUAGGGUUUAACAUGAUCCAGUUGGGGCCUCGCAACUUUCGGUUUUCGGUGGCUUAA
rnacentral:rRNA from 1 species